rnacentral:rRNA from 1 species
AACGAACGCUGGCGGCAGGCCUAACACAUGCAAGUCGAGCGAGGACUUCGGUCCUAGCGGCGGACGGGUGAGUAACGCGUGGGAACGUGCCCUUUGCUUCGGAAUAGCCCUGGGAAACUGGGAGUAAUACCGGAUGAGCCCUUUGGGGGAAAGAUUUAUCGGCGAAGGAUCGGCCCGCGUUGGAUUAGGUAGUUGGUGGGGUAAUGGCCUACCAAGCCGCCGAUCCAUAGCUGGUUUGAGAGGAUGAUCAGCCACACUGGGACUGAGACACGGCCCAGACUCCUACGGGAGGCAGCAGUGGGGAAUCUUAGACAAUGGGGGAAACCCUGAUCUAGCCAAGCCGCGUGAGCGAUGAAGGCCUUAGGGUUGUAAAGCUCUUUCAGCUGGGAAGAUAAUGACGGUACCAGCAGAAGAAGCCCCGGCUAACUCCGUG